rnacentral:rRNA from 1 species
GACGAACGCUGGCGGCGUGCUUAACACAUGCAAGUCGAACGGAAAGACCCUGCGUUUGUGGGGUGCUCGAUUGGCGAACGGGUGAGUAACACGUGAGUAUCCUGCCCUUAACUUUGGGGUAACAUUAGGAGACUGGGGCGAAAAUCGGAUAGGAGAUCCUGCUGCAUGGUGGGGGAUGGAAAGAUUCGGCGGUGGGGGCAGGACUCGCGGCAUAGUAGCGUGUUGGUGAGGUAGUGGCUUACCAAGGCUUUGAUGGGUAGCCGGCCUGGGCGGGUGACCGGCCAGACUGGAACUGGGACACGGUCCAGACUCCUACGGGAGGCAGCAGUAGGGAAUCUUCCGCAAUGGGCGGAAGCUUGACGGAGCAACGCCGCGUGAGUGAUGAAGGUCUUCGGAUCGUAAAACUCUGUUAUUAGGGAAGAACAAAUGUGUAAGUAACUAUGCACGUCUUGACGGUACCUAAUCAGAAAGCCACGGCUAACUACGUG